AAAAUCUCUUUUGCAACCCAGAACUCAUUGAUCAGUAUGAGUUUUGGUCUGUGUAAGAAGGAAU
rnacentral:snoRNA from 1 species